UCUCCCAUUCCCUUUUUUUUUUUAAGUUUCAUCUUCAUUCUUGAAACAAAAUUCAAGAGCACGAAGUGCUACUACUCUUUAAUCAAGCCUUGAGAAAUUAUUUCUUUUUGUUUUCAAUUAGAAAUAUCUUGAAACACAACAUACUCUUUCUCCCUUUUUCUUAACCGCCCCAUUUGAAGAACAAGGAAGAGUUUCUUGGUUGAUCAAGGAGCUUUGAUCAAGUGCUUGUGUAGAUAAGCUAGACAAUUAGUAUUUGAUAGUAUUCAUUACCUGGAUUUAGUGAGAAUUGUUGAUUCUACUCAUCAAGGGUGAGUCCACCUCUAAAACCUUAGCUUCGUAUAAUUUGGGAAAGUUAUUUUCUAAUAGCAAUUAGGCUUGAUUAGCACUUGAAGCAUGAUUUAGUAUGACUAAAUGAUAUGUUUUUCAAUAGUUUAAUGAGAUUACAUGAUGCAUGAAACUCUAAGUUAAGAAAAAUUUUAAAUUGCUAAUUCCUGCACUUAUUGAUGAAUUGUUCUUGCAAUUUAUGUAUAACACUUUCACCUUUCAUUGAUAGUUAAACAUAUCGUUAGAAGAUGUGAACCUUCUUGUAGAAUCAGAACAAGUAUCCGUACUCAAUCUUAAUCACAGGGAUCAUCAACAUUGAAAAAUUGACAUUCUCGAUUUCAAUUAUUUAUAAGAUACAUACUAAGUAUUGAACAUUGUUAAGAGAUGUGAACCAUACCACAACGAUUAUUCGUCUAAUUUAUUGACCAUGUUCAAGUACUAGGUCAAUAUUUAAACGUUGCGUGUUACAUAUAAAUUGUAGACUAAGAUAAUGAGACCUGAAUUAAACUGGUGAAUUAGUAUGUUUUUAUCGUCCGAUCACCUAGCUCGGUGGUUUAAUUGAAAUACUUGGAAGAAAGCUUCUUAACAACUCAUAAUUAUUCUAGUGGUAGAAAUUAAGUUUCAGGAAUGGAUGACAGAUGAUAAAGCAAAUUAAAAUGUGAAAUGCCAGGCUGUAAGGAAGAUGGAGUUAAAAUGUAAGAGAAACACAAGCAAUGAGUCACGACAAGAGAGUGACAAAUUUCAAGAGGGGUUUUUACGGGGGACAAGCAUAGUUUUUGCUGUUAAAAGUCGAGCUCUCUUUCACAACAUACCACGUAUUAACUAACAUUUAGUGGCAAACCUGUGGGGGCGAAUUGGCUCUUCCUGUUUCAGCUAGCUUAGAAUCGAUUGAUUGAGAUCUACGUUAACUAUACACAUCUCAUGACUCCACACUAAUUAUUUUUAUGAUGUGAUUUAAAUUUUAGAUAUGUUUUUUAUGUAUAUAAAUUAAAUUAUGAUUCAACUUGAAAAGUUUAUGCUGCAAUUUGAAUGUAAUAUUUUUACAAGGUCUGUGUUGGUGGUCAAGGAUAUGAGUCUAUAAGUCUAACUUCUUGAGUUUCAAAUUCCUUAUAAUAUGAAUUAGUAUAAAUAUUAUUAAUUUUACAUAUAUUAUGGGAGUUUGAGUCAGCUUACUAAGAUUAAGAUUUAAAGAGUUCUUAAUAGUUAUAGCUUAUUCUUUAUCAUCUUAGUAGAAUUUUUCUCUCAUGUCUUACUCGUGAUUGUAGAUUUUAUAGUCGAACCAUAUAAAUUUCGUGUCCUCACUUUUUUCCUUUAUAUUGUGUUUGCGCAAUGUGUAUAGCUUAAUUUUUGUAUUAUAGCUAUAACAAUUAUGUUAACUCUAAAAUCCCAUUGAAACAUAUAUAGUAACUACACUAUUUUCUUUUUCCAUCUCAUUAUCAACUUUUUCUUUAUUUUCAGUGACGUAAAGCAUUAUUGAUUAUUCAUUCAUAAAGCUUGCCUACAAACAAAUCUUUAGAAUCAGGAUUAAAUUGCUUUUUUACGGCAGCCAAGGAUAGAAAUUUUGGAAUACAACUUCUACAGGGGGAACACUUGAUGGCCUAUUGCAGAUGACGAAUGUUUUGUGUUAAUUUAACAAAACACUGUUUUCUUCAUCAACUUAAGAAGCCUAAGUUUUAUUGUGCGAUAGUUCAUUGAUCUUCGCCCGCACAGUUGCAGCUCCUGCUUGAUUCAGUAUGAUGUUUGCGGCAUUUUACAAGUUCCAUCAAGGAAACCUAGUUUCUCCAUAGCACAAAAAGCUAUAUAUCUUUACAUGUAAGGUAGUUGGUUCCAGUUAAGGGUGCAGUUAAUGGCUAGUAGGAGACCGUGAUGAUCUCCACUCAGCAAGAGAAAAGGUUCUUCAGUUCCGUAAGAUCUUGUAUGGCGAUCUACCCCAAUUCUCUGUAAUUUGAUGUCUAGCUCUGGCUUCCACAUUCUCUUCCAUUGCAGCAAAUAAAUCUUCAAAACAAGUACUUCAAAUACAUUAAAAUUUGGAGAAGAAGAGAAUGAAAUCUCUGAUCUAUAUUCAGUAACUGACCUGAGCUCAACAAAUAUAUAUAGGUGAGGAGACAAAAAUAACUCCCUAGCUCAGCUUAACCAAUCAGCUUACGCACAGUACUCUAAACCAAAAAAUUAACUGAUCUCCUAAUACUAAGCUAUUAUCACUAACUGAACUGAAUAAAUUAUAGUACAUUCGCAUUAUCAACUUAAUUUUAUGUUUACAAAAACUUUAUAGGUUAGAUUUAAAAUUUUAAUCACUUCCUUAAAAUAGCUAAAAGGGAGAUGCUUGGCUACUUGUGGGGUAAGAGAAUGGGUCAUUGAGUGAUAUGUUGUUUCUCAUCAAGACCAGAACUACUUCUUCUAUGUAUACGAUCUGUAGCAGUUGCAUGUAUGGGAACCAUGUAAUGGAGUUCAUCACUACUGAAUCUUCAAUUCUUGAACAUUGAGUGUCAUAUUGUGUCAAUCUAGACUUCUGGGGUCAUAAAGAGUUGUCUUCCAAGACUGUAACGUCUCGAUUUCGAGUCAUAAUCAAAUAUUGUUGUAGGAGGUUGCUUAGUUAUAUAGAAUUCAUUAGUAA